UUUCCAUUAUAAUUUAAUUAUAGAUAUUUCCUGCUCAAUGAAUUUUUAAAUAGCCGCGGAAUAUUAACCGUGCUAAGGUAGCAUAAUCAUUAGCCUUUUAAUUAAAGGCCAGUAUGAACGGAAUAACAUUUUAAAUUCUUUAUUUAUUAUUUUAUUUAAAAUUAAAUUAAGAAUAAAAAUGUUCUUAUUUUAUAAAAAGACGACAAGACCCUUUUGAACUUUACUUUAGUUUAGCUGGGGCAGCUAAAUAAAUAUUAUUUUAUAAAAAAUUUUUUUAAUAAAUGACCCUAUUUGUUAGAAUAAAUGAACAAGUUACCAGAGGGAUAACAGCGUAAUAUCUUUCUAAAGUUCUUAUAUAAAAAGAUGAUUACGACCUCGAUGUUGAAUUAUUGUAACUUUCCAAGUGCAAUCAUUUUUAAAAGUAAGUCUGUUCGACUUUUAAUCCAAUAC
rnacentral:rRNA from 1 species